UAGUCCACGCCGUAAACGAUGGUCACUAGUUGUUGGGGCUUUAUGCCUCAGUGACUAAGCGAAAGUGAUAAGUGACCCACCUGGGGAGUACGAUCGCAAGAUUGAAACUCAAAGGAAUUGACGAGGGCCCGCACAAGCGGUGGAGCAUGUGGUUUAAUUCGAUGAUACGCGAGGAACCUUACCAGGGCUUAAAUGUAAGUUGCAUAGACCAGAGAUGGUCUUUUCUUCGGACUACUUACAAGGUGCUGCAUGGUUGUCGUCAGCUCGUGCCGUGAGGUGUCAGGUUAAGUCCUAUAACGAGCGCAACCCCUACCGUUAGUUGCCAGCAAGUAAAGUUGGGGACUCUAGCGGGACUGCCGGUGCAAACCGAGAGGAAGGUGGGGAUGACGUCAAAUCAUCACGGCCCUUACGUCCUGGGCUACACACGUGCUACAAUGGACGAGACAAUGAGACGCCAAUCUGCGAAGAAUAGCUAAUCUAUAAACUCGUUCUAAGUUCGGA
rnacentral:rRNA from 1 species